AACGAACGCUGGCGGCAUGCCUAACACAUGCAAGUCGAACGAGACCUUCGGGUCUAGUGGCGCACGGGUGCGUAACGCGUGGGAAUCUGCCCUUGGGUUCGGAAUAACAGUUAGAAAUGACUGCUAAUACCGGAUGAUGUCUUCGGACCAAAGAUUUAUCGCCCAAGGAUGAGCCCGCGUAAGAUUAGCUAGUUGGUGAGGUAAUGGCUCACCAAGGCGACGAUUCUAGUCUGGUCUGAGAGGAUGAUCAGCCACACUGGGGACUGAGACACGGCCCAGACUCCUACGGGAGGCAGCAGUGGGGAAUAUUGGACGAAUGGGCGAAAGCCUGAUCCAGCAAUGCCGCGUGAGUGAUG
rnacentral:rRNA from 1 species